CCUACGGGAGGCAGCAGUGAGGAAUAUUGGUCAAUGGACGAGAGUCUGAACCAGCCAAGCCGCGUGAGGGAUGAAGGCCCUGUGGAUUGUAAACUUCUUUUAUCAAGGAAUAAAAAGAGGCACGUGUGCCUGUAUGCAUGUACUUGAUGAAUAAGGAUCGGCUAACUCCGUGCCAACAGCCGCGGUAAUACGGAGGAUCCGAGCGUUAUCCGGAUUUAUUGGGUUUAAAGGGAGCGUAGAUGGGUUGUUAAGGCAGUUGUGAAAGUUUGGGGCUCAACCGUAGAAUUGCAUUUGAUACUGGCAGUCUCGAGUACAGUUGAGGUAGGCGGAAUGCGUGGUGUAGCGGUGAAAUGCUUAGAUAUCGCGAAGAACCCCGAUUGCGAAGGCAGCUUAC
rnacentral:rRNA from 1 species